rnacentral:tRNA from 1 species
GAGGGUGUAGCUCAGUGGUAGAGCACAUGCUUAGCAUGCACGAGGUCCUGGGUUCAAUCCCAGGCCCAUUUA